rnacentral:rRNA from 1 species
ACGUAGGAGGCAAGCGUUAUCCGGAGUUACUGGGCGUAAAGGGCGUGCAGGCGGUGCGAUAAGUCGUGCGUGAAAGCUCCCAGGCUUAACCGGGAGAGGACGUGCGAGACUGUCGGACUAGAGGCAGGUAGAGGCAAGUGGAAUUCCGGGUGUAGUGGUGAAAUGCGUAGAGAUCCGGAGGAACACCAGUGGCGAAGGCGGCACCCUGGUCCAAGACUGACGCUAAGACGCGAAAGCAUGGGGAGCGAACGG